UGUCCACGCCGUGGCCGACCCGGGGAUCACCGACAGCCGGGCCAUGCCUCGAGUCCCGCCGCCCGCGCCGCUGCUCGGCUUCUCAGAAACGCACCUCCACGCCGCCAGCCGGGGCUCCAGGGUCCACCGCCCGGGCCCGGAGGACUGGCGACUCCCUCCGAGGUUGGGAGCGCUCCGGAUUUCUCCAACUUCAGUUUUGAAAGACAAGUGUUUCAUCGUCUUGAGAACGCUGACUUAUGAUGCCCUUGAUUGGCAUUAAGGAAACAAACUCUGGGAAAGAAUGAUGACGUCCUGUUAUAUUCUCAUCUUUGUAUUGCUCUCUCAAGAAAUAUGGGGGAGGAGGAGCCAGAAGAAGAAACAGCUCGAAGAAUUGACUAUUGUUGCCUCUGGCAAAUGGGAUGAGGAAAUGGGAAGUUAUGAGACAAGGAAAUGAUGAGUUUCAUUACAAGCCUAGAAGUAAUUAAGCGUUUAUGUUACUCAUUUGUACUAUUUUCACUUAAGACAAUGAAAAUUUAUAAUUUCUAAAGAGCAGAAAAGAGCUCGGAAAGGUUACCUGCUUGGUAACCAAUGGCUGUAUGAUAUGUUGCCUGACUGUUAAAUCCAGAAACUGUCAAAAGAUGGGUUUUGUUUAGGUUGAGCCAGACUUUCUCCAGAAGGAGUAACGCACCAAAGGAUCUGUCUGACUCCCACCCCCAUGACCACCUCUAUUUCUGCUCAUCUCCAGCUUGACCGCUGGACCUUCAGGCAGGUCUUCCCUUGUCCCACAGCCAAGUGUUGCCCCUCUCCAUUCAUCUCUUCUACUAUUAUCAUCAGCUGAGUCAGAAAUAGAAGACUCAGUGGACACAAAAAAAGACUAGCUGCCAUUCUGAGCUAGAGGCUGCUUCAGAGGAAGACAGCUGACUUCACUGACCACCCACUCAGUCCCAGGCACUGGACUCUGGGCACCUUUCCAUAUUAUUAUCUUAAUUGAGCAUCCCAACUGAUAUGGCCAGGCUUUAUGUCCCCACUCAAAUCUCAUCCUGAAUUAUAAUCCCCAU
rnacentral:lncRNA from 1 species